rnacentral:rRNA from 1 species
UACGGAGGGUGCGAGCGUUGUCCGGAAUCACUGGGCGUAAAGGGCGCGUAGGCGGCCUGAUAAGUAGGGGGUGAAAUCCUGCGGCUUAACCGCAGGGCUGCCUUCUAAACUGUCAGGCUGGAGCACAGUAGAGGCAGGUGGAAUUCCCGGUGUAGCGGUGGAAUGCGCAGAUAUCAGGAGGAACACCGGUGGCGAAGGCGGGUCUCUGGGCCGAUACUGACGCUGAGGAGCGAAAGCGUGGGGAGCGAACAGG